rnacentral:rRNA from 1 species
ACGCUCGACACCUACGAGAGGCAGCAGUGGGGAAUAUUGCACAAUGGGGGAAACCCUGAUGCAGCGACGCCGCGUGAAGGAAGAAGUAUCUCGGUAUGUAAACUUCUAUCAGCAGGGAAGAAAGUGACGGUACCUGACUAAGAAGCCCCGGCUAACUACGUGCCAGCAGCCGCGGUAAUCUGAGCGGCUGGCAAGGC